rnacentral:rRNA from 1 species
UACGGAAGGUGAAAGCCUUAUCCGGAAUCACUGGGUUUAAAGGGUGCGUAGGCGGCUUGGUAAGUCAGCGGUGAAAGCUUCCCGCUUAACGGGAGAGGAGCCCCUGAUACUGCCAGGCUUGAAUCGGCGCGAGGCAGGCGGAAUGUGACAUGUAGCGGUGAACUGCUUAGAUAUGUCAUAGAACACCGAUUGCGAAGGCAGCCUGCCGGAGCCGUUAUUGACGCUGAGGCACGAAAGCGUGGGGAGCGAACAGG